rnacentral:rRNA from 1 species
AUUGAACGCUGGCGGCAGGCCUAACACAUGCAAGUCGAGCGGAUGAAGGUAGCUUGCUACCUGAUUCAACGGCGGACGGGUGAGUAAUGCCUAGGAAUCUGCCUGGUAGUGGGGGACAACGUUUCGAAAGGAAGAUUAAUACCGCAUAAGAUUGUAGCUUCGCAUGAAGUAGCAAUUAAAGGAGCAACCCGCUAUGAGAUGGGCCCGCGGCGCAUUAGCUAGUUGGUGAGGUAACGGCUCACCAAGGCGACGAUGCGUAGCCGACCUGAGAGGGUGAUCGGCCACAUUGGGACUGAGACACGGCCCAGACUCCUACGGGAGGCAGCAGUGGGGAAUAUUGCACAAUGGGGGAAACCCUGAUGCAGCAACGCCGCGUGAGUGAUGACGGCCUUCGGGUUGUAAAGCUCUGUCUUCAGGGACGAUAAUGACGGUACCUGAGGAGGAAGCCACGGCUAACUACGUGCCAGCCGCCGCGGUAAAAC